rnacentral:tRNA from 1 species
GCUUCUAUAGCUCAGUAGGUAGAGCACUUGCAUGGUAAGCAAGAGGUCGCCGGUUCAAUUCCGGCUGGAAGCUCCA